UUUUGUUAGUUCGUCUUCAUCUCCCAUCAAGCAUCCCCUUCUCUUUCCUCAAUGAUUUGUGUUUUUUGCUUAUCUUUUCGAUUACUUGAACUUUAGAUUUUUGCCUGUGCCUGUUUUUUUUUUGAUUAUUUGCCUUAGGACUGCCUGCCUCACCGUUGGUGUAAGUGAGUUCCUCCUUUUUAAACAAAUUACCUUCAACUGAACUUGCUUUGCCUGGUGUCCUGCAUUUGGGUCCAAAUCCCCUGUUCCCUGUUGCGACGCUGGAACUGAAUUGUGACAACAAGAAGGAGCAGCUACAGUGAGCUGUUACACCAAGAGCUUUAGGCGACAGGCUGCUCACCUCCAACUUCUCAGUAAGAAAAGAUGGCCAGCUCUUUUCCGGGAAAACCAGGUUUCUGCAGAAUACCGUUGCAUCAACAACCAGCGGCUGAGAGUUGAAGUGUAUACUGCAUUGUUUGCUAGCUGUAGCCAGAGAGAUGCAGGGAGAAUUGGGCGGAAGUGCCCAGAAGAUCUCUUCUCCAUUGAAGAAGCAA